rnacentral:rRNA from 1 species
GACGAACGCUGGCGGCGUGCUUAACACAUGCAAGUCGAACGGAAAGGCCCUGCUUUUGUGGGGUUCUCGAGUGGCGAACGGGUGAGUAACACGUGAGUAACCUGCCCUUUACUUUGGGAUAACUUCAUGAAACUGGGGCUAUUACCGGAUAUGAGCUCCUUCUGCAUGGUGGGUGUUUGAAAGUUUCGGCGGUUGGGGAUGGACUCGUGGCUUAUCAGCUUGUUGGUGGGGUAGUGGCUUACCAAGGCGUGGACGGGUAGCCGGACUGAGAGGGUGACCGGCCACAUUGGGAUAGAGAAACGAGCAAGAGUCAUACGGGAGGAAGCGGUGGGAAAUAUUGCAAGAAGGGCGGAAGGCUGAAGCAGGAACGCCGCGUGCGGGAUGACGGCCGGCGGGUUGUAAACCGCGUGCGACUGUGAAGAAGAGUGAGUGACGGUAAUGGGUAAAGAAGCAACGGCUAACUACGUG